AGUUCGCGCCGGAUGGUCGCGCCCACCGGGUUGCCGGUGGGUGAGGAAAGUCCGGACACCAUAGGGCAGGACGGUCGCUAACGGCGACCAGCGACGGGCAAACCGAAGCGAGGAACAGGGCCACAGAAAUAAACCGCUCUGAGUUGCUAGUUGUUAGUGAUUAGUUUUUAGUCAAUAAGUCGGAGAUGCUAACUAUCGGCGUUUUGCCUACACAGUUGGCCUUAGACAACGAACUAAAAACUAAUCACUAACAACUAGCAACUCAGAGUAAGGGUGAAAAGGUGUGGUAAAAGCGCACCGGCUUCGUGGUGACACGAGGCGUCAAGGUAACCUCCGUCCGGUGCAAGACCAAACAGAACGCGCUGAUGCGGCCCGCAAAGCGUUCGGGUUGGUUGCAGUGCGUCUCGGCAACGAAACGCACCAUCGUAGCGGCAACGUUGCGAGCAGAUAAAUGACCAUCGCGCCUGGAGAAGGCGCACAGAAUCCGGCUUACAGGCGCGAACUUCAC
rnacentral:RNase_P_RNA from 1 species